UCGGAACCCUUCUGAACGUCCGUUUGCGCUCAAAUUUGACAGGAAGUCUCGGUUUAACGUACUGAGUAAGAAUAUAUCUUAAGUUUUCAGUUUCGACCCCGUUUGGUCACCGAAAACUGUGCCGAACUGCAAUCUUUAUCAGAUAGCCUUCGGAUUUUAUUUCUCACUCUACGGGUGUCAGAAAAAUAUGAAACCUUAAAUCUAGCCUCAUAAAAAUAUUUCUGACUUAUCCUCCAAUUUUCAUAAUUUUCUGAGACUCUGCAUUUUCUGCUAAUUUAUCUGCCCCGUCUCUCACAGAAAAUUCUAAAUCUUCUGUUUUCAUUCCGAUUUCAGCACAAGUCAUUUCUAACUCAUAUUUCACUUCUCCAAAUCCAAUAAAAAUAGUAUCUCAUACUAUUUUUAUUUAUUUUUAUUUUUAUAUUUAAAUCCGGUAUAUUACAUUACACCGCAACUUUACCGGAACCAUUCAAAUGGCUCUCCAACCAAAUGGACACCGUAACCUCAUGAUUUUAGAAGU
rnacentral:lncRNA from 1 species